rnacentral:rRNA from 1 species
UACGAAGGGGGCUAGCGUUGCUCGGAAUCACUGGGCGUAAAGCGCACGUAGGCGGAUUGUUAAGUCAGGGGUGAAAUCCUGGAGCUCAACUCCAGAACUGCCUUUGAUACUGGCGAUCUUGAGUCCGGGAGAGGUGAGUGGAACUGCGAGUGUAGAGGUGAAAUUCGUAGAUAUUCGCAAGAACACCAGUGGCGAAGGCGGCUCACUGGCCCGGUACUGACGCUGAGGUGCGAAAGCGUGGGGAGCAAACAGGGAUUAAGAUACCCCGAGUAG